rnacentral:rRNA from 1 species
CGCGUAGGCGGUGCAAUAAGUCAGGCGUGAAAGCCCCGGGCUCAACCCGGGAAUAGCGCUUGAUACUGUUGCGCUUGAAUCCAGGAGAGGAUGGCGGAAUUCCCAGUGUAGAGGUGAAAUUCGUAGAUAUUGGGAAGAACACCAGUGGCGAAGGCGGCCAUCUGGCCUGGAAUUGACGCUGAGGCGCGAAAGCGUGGGGAGCAAACAGGAUUAGAUACCCUGGUAGUCCACGCCGUAAACGAUGAGUGCUAGACGUCGGGAAGCUUGCUUUUCGGUGUCGACGCUAACGCAUUAAGCACUCCGCCUGGGGAGUACGGCCGCAAGGUUAAA